CGUCGAGCUACGGCAGAGGGGUCGGAGAGGGGUUCGCGGCGACGCAGAGGGGUCUCCGGAGUCAACAGGGAAUAUCAAUCCAGUUUGUAUGGGUUCCUGCUCAUAAAGGAGUUGGUGUUGAGGAGGCAGACAAGCUGGCAAAAGAGGCAACCAAAGAAGAGGAGGUGCAUUCCACUCAGCAGAUCAGAAGUUAAGUCCAAUAGAUGGCGGACAUACACUUUGCCUGUAAACUGCCAUAAAACCUGACAGAAGAAGAAGAAUCAGGAAACAGAAUAUGUAUGUAUGGUAUAUUAUACAAAGCAUUAAUCAGAUCCACCAUAGACUAUAGAUGCAUAGUGUAUAGUUCUGCUAACAUCUCUCAGAAAACUAGAUAGAAUUCAGUUUAAAGGUUUAAGGAUUGCUUUAGGAGCGAUUAAAACAACUCCUACCUCUAUUAGUAGAAGCUGAAGAAACCCCACUUAAAUUAAGAUUUGAUCAACUGUCCUUAACAUACUGGGUGAGACUAAAAGGGAGCAUAAAUAAUCUGCCUUAUCAGUCCUAAAUUAAUGUUGGGAAUACCAUUCAAAGAGAUCUGGUUUUGGUGGCAUAUUAAAAACGCAGGGGAAAUAUAUGGAAUUAGAGAUUUGCACACUCCUGUACAGUAGGUAGCGGUAUGCACCAAAGAGUUGUAAUCAGCCAAUAAAUCAAAGAAGAAGAAGAAGAAUCAGGAAACAGGGAUUCGGUGGGGAACCAAACCAGAGAAUGUCUAAUAAGGGGAGAACUGCCACUCUCGGAAGACUUCCGGUUUCUGAACUGG